GCCGCCCGUUACAAAGGGUGUAACCGCCAUCCAUCAAUCCAUCCAGUUGUUUGGAAGUUGCGCGGUUUCGAACAUAGAAAAGUAGUUCUUUAUUCUAUGGUGUUACUAUUGGUUUCGAACGCUCAAGACGCGAAUGUAGUACAUACCAGCCGUUCCCCGUACUGCAUAUAAAGUAUGGUACCGUGGCAGCACGGAAACGCCUCCUGCGUGAUGCCAGUUAUCCGAGAGGCAUACGAAGCCAAAUGUACGAUGACAUGCGGAGUGUCCGAGGAAGCUGCCGUGUGGAUAGAACUGGCUCGGCAGAUUUUCUUGAAGGACAUUGCUGAGAAGUGCUGCAAAAUGGUUAACAAGGGGCCGAAGAAGAAAAGGACCCUGGAAAAAAAAGGUGUUGUGAAAGCUUACAAGAACAGGUUCACCAUGGUGUGACAAAGAACGAGACACAAGGGAGACAGUGGUUGCUGACACUACCACAAUGCUUUCUUCGACCGUAAUGACACAUCUUACACUGUGUAGUUAGUGAUUCAUCGACCUGGUUUCCUGUAAAGGCGUCAGCUGUUGUCAGUGAU